CAAAGGACGACAUUAGACGAAUCAUCUGGAAAGAUGAAUCAAAGAAGGUAAUAAUCCUGUAGUCGAAAAUGUUGUCUCUCUUGAGUGGAUCCUGAGUACGACGGAGCACGUGAAAUUCCGUCGGAAUAUGGGAGGACCAUCUCCUAAGGCUAAAUACUCUCUAGUGACCGAUAGUGAACCAGUACCGUGAGGGAAAGGUGAAAAGCACCCCGGAAGGGGAGUGAAAUAGAACCUGAAACCGUGUGCUUACAAGUAGUCAGAGCCCGUUAAUGGGUGAUGGCGUGCCUUUUGUAGAAUGAACCGGCGAGUUACGAU
rnacentral:rRNA from 1 species